rnacentral:rRNA from 1 species
GUACGGGGGGGCAAGCGUUGUUCGGAAUUACUGGGCGUAAAGGGCUCGUAGGCGGCCAACUAAGUCGGACGUGAAAUCCCCAGGCUCAACCUGGGAACCGCGCCUUGAGACUGGCAGGCUCGAGGUCGGAGAGGAGCGAUCAGUGUAGCGGUGAAAUGCGUAGAUAUCUGGAGGAACACCGGUGGCGAAGGCGGCAUCCUGGACCGAUACUGACGCUGAGGAGCGAAAGCCAGGGGAGCAAACGGG